CAAACGCACAUGGGGUUGACGAUGAGGUGUUUUCAAUGUGCCUGUGGCUGUAAUUCUCAAAAA
rnacentral:pre_miRNA from 1 species